AUUGAACGCUGGCGGCAUGCUUUACACAUGCAAGUCGAACGGUAACAGGCCGCAAGGUGCUGACGAGUGGCGAACGGGUGAGUAAUGCAUCGGAACGUGCCCAGUCGUGGGGGAUAACUACUCGAAAGAGUAGCUAAUACCGCAUACGAUCUAUGGAUGAAAGCGGGGGACCGUAAGGCCUCGCGCGAUUGGAGCGGCCGAUGUCAGAUUAGGUAGUUGGUGGGGUAAAGGCUCACCAAGCCAACGAUCUGUAGCUGGUCUGAGAGGACGGCCAGCCACACUGGGACUGGGACACGGCCCAGACUCCUACGGGAGGCAGCAGUGGGGAAUUUUGGACAAUGGGCGCAAGCCUGAUCCAGCAAUGCCGCGUGCAGGAAGAAGGCCUUCGGGUUGUAAACUGCUUUUGUACGGAACGAAACGGCUCUGGUUAAUACCCGGGGCUAAUGACGGUACCGUAAGAAUAAGCACCGGCUAACUACGUG
rnacentral:rRNA from 1 species